AAAGCUGGGAGACCUACCGCCAGGAUGACGGGCUCACCUGGCAGGUAGCUGGAAAGGCCCAUUCUGGGUCUAUGUUCAGAUAAACAUCUACACUUAAACCAACUUAAUUAUCAGUUCAAAGUGGAGUUGAAGGAAUUCCCCCCUCCAAAUGAGUCAGGCUUAUGUGGAGGUGCUUGGGGGCUAAAGCCCAGGCAGUUAAGUGUGGGGUGGGGCAUUCCUACUGGCUUCAGUUUUGUGCUCUGUGUAGCCCAAAGACUAGAUAGAUGCCUUUUGGUCACUUGGGCAAGAUCACAAAGCCGCCAGGUGAAGUCUUGGCCACAGGGUCUAAGCCCAGAGUCCUUCAGUUGGAGAAAGUGGAAUCUCGCCUCUCACACAAGGUCAGAAUCCGUGUUCACGGCUGAAACCACUGUUGGUGCCACUGCUGGAGAAACUUGGCCAACCUGCCCAUCUAAGGUAAAGGCUCUACCUUUGACCACUGCGUUCACUACGUACGCGAAUAUACUUGUUACCCUCACAACACCACUUGCUAACAAGGAAAAAAAGGUGACACGAUCGAAUGAAUUAAAAGUUUAAUUCUGAACCAUUUUUAUAACUGCAUUUUCUCUUGAAGCAUUGAGUCACAGCAGGUUACAACAACUUUGGGAUAAAAGGCAACUGGUAAACUGUCCAAAACAAGGUU